rnacentral:rRNA from 1 species
GUGAGGAAUUUUCCGCAAUGGGCGAAAGCCUGACGGAGCAAUGCCGCGUGAAGGAUGAAGGCCUAUGGGUUGUAAACUUCUUUUCUCAGAAAAGAAUUAUGACGGUAUCUGAGGAAUAAGCAUCGGCUAACUCUGUGCCAGCAGCCGCGGUAAGACAGAGGAUGCAAGCGUUAUCCGGAAUGAUUGGGCGCAAAGCGUCUGUAGGUUGUUUAAAAAGUAUUCUGUCAAAGAUUAGGGCUUAACCCUAGAUAGGCAGAAUAAACUUUUAAGCUAGAGUUUGGUAGAGGCAGAGGGAAUACCCGGUGGAGCGGUGAAAUGCGUAGAUAUCGGGAGGAACACCAAAGGCGAAGGCACUCUGCUGGGCCAAUACUAACACUGAGAGACGAAAGCGAGGGGAGCAAAUGGGAUUAGAUACCCUAGUAGUCC